rnacentral:rRNA from 1 species
UUGGUCAUUUAGAGGAAGUAAAAGUCGUAACAAGGUCUCCGUAGGUGAACCUGCGGAGGGAUCAUUACAAGUGACCCCGGUCUAACCACCGGGAUGUUCAUAACCCUUUGUUGUCCGACUCUGUUGCCUCCGGGGCGACCCUGCCUUCGGGCGGGGGCUCCGGGUGGACACUUCAAACUCUUGUGUAACUUUGCAGUCUGAGUAAACUUAAUUAAUAAAUUAAAACUUUUAACAACGGAUCUCUUGGUUCUGGCAUCGAUGAAGAACGCAGCGAAAUGCGAUAAGUAAUGUGAAUUGCAGAAUUCAGUGAAUCAUCGAAUCUUUGAACGCACAUUGCGCCCCCUGGUAUUCCGGGGGGCAUGCCUGUUCGAGCGUCAUUUCAACCCUCAAGCUCAGCUUGGUGUUGGGACUCGCGGUAACCCGCGUUCCCCAAAUCGAUUGGCGGUCACGUCGAGCUUCCAUAGCGUAGUAAUCAUACACCUCGUUACUGGUAAUCGUCGCGGCCACGCCGUUAAACCCCAACUUCUGAAUGUUGACCUCGGAUCAGGUAGGAAUACCCGCUGAACUUAAGCAUAUCAAUAAG